rnacentral:pre_miRNA from 15 species
ACCUGCCCAGUGCUACUGUUUGGUACUUAACGCGAGGUUGCCUUGGUAUAUUCGGUUUAUUGACGUGGAAUAUACAAGGGCAAGCUCUCUGUGAGUAUCAAACUUUGUCCGGGAAGCUUCUU